UACGUAGGUGGCAAGCGUUGUCCGGAAUUAUUGGGCGUAAAGCGCGCGCAGGCGGUCCUUUAAGUCUGAUGUGAAAGCCCACGGCUCAACCGUGGAGGGUCAUUGGAGACUGGGGGACUUGAGUACAGAAGAGGAAAGCGGAAUUCCACGUGUAGCGGUGAAAUGCGUAGAGAUGUGGAGGAACACCAGUGGCGAAGGCGGCUUUCUGGUCUGUAACUGACGCUGAGGCGCGAAAGCGUGGGGAGCAAACAGG
rnacentral:rRNA from 1 species